rnacentral:rRNA from 1 species
GAUGAACGCUGGCGGCGUGCCUAACACAUGCAAGUCGAGCGAGGGUUUGCUCAGUAUUGAGUAUUCUAAGACUAGAAUGUUCAAUUCUGAGCAAAACCAAGCGGCGGACGGGUGAGUAACGCGUGGGUAACCUGCCCUAUACACAUGGAUAACAUACUGAAAAGUUUACUAAUACAUGAUAAUAUAUAUUUGCGGCAUCGCAGAUAUAUCAAAGUGUUAGCGGUAUAGGAUGGACCCGCGUCUGAUUAGCUAGUUGGUGAGAUAACUGCCCACCAAGGCGACGAUCAGUAGCCGACCUGAGAGGGUGAUCGGCCACAUUGGAACUGAGACACGGUCCAAACUCCUACGGGAGGCAGCAGUGGGGAAUAUUGCACAAUGGGCGAAAGCCUGAUGCAGCAACGCCGCGUGAACGAUGAAGGUCUUCGGAUCGUAAAGUUCUGUUGCAGGGGAAGAU